UACGUAGGGAGCAAGCGUUGUUCGGAUUUACUGGGCGUAAAGGGCGCGUAGGCGGCAUGACAAGUCACUUGUGAAAUCUCUGGGCUUAACCCAGAACGGCCAAGUGAUACUGUCGCGCUAGAGUGCGGAAGGGGCAAUCGGAAUUCUCGGUGUAGCGGUGAAAUGCGUAGAUAUCGAGAGGAACACCUGAGGUGAAGACGGGUUGCUGGGCCGACACUGACGCUGAGUGCGCGAAAGCGUGGGGAGCAAACAGG
rnacentral:rRNA from 1 species